GGGGCCGUAGUGUAGUGGUUAACACGUCCGCCUGUCACGCGGAAGAUCGAGGGUUCGAGUCCCUUCGGCCCCGCCG
rnacentral:tRNA from 2 species